ACGCUCGACACCUACGAGAGGCAGCAGUGGGGAAUAUUGCACAAUGGGGGAAACCCUGAUGCAGCGACGCCGCGUNGNGAGAAGAUUCGUUAGUGUAAGACUCUAUCNGCNGGAAGGAAAUAGCGGACCGUCGNGUAAGAAGACCGCCGUACUACGUGCACACAGCCGCGGUAAUCUGAGCGGGCUGGCAAGGC
rnacentral:rRNA from 1 species